rnacentral:rRNA from 1 species
CUACGGGAGGCACCAGUGGGGAAUAUUGCACAAUGGGCGCAAGCCUGAUGCAGCCAUGCCGCGUGUAUGAAGAAGGCCUUCGGGUUGUAAAGUACUUUCAGCGGGGAGGAAGGGAGUAAAGUUAAUACCUUUGCUCAUUGACGUUACCCGCAGAAGAAGCACCGGCUAACUCCGUGCCAGCAGCCGCGGUAAUCAGGAGGGUGCAAGCGUUAAUCGGAAUUACUGGGCGUAAAGCGCACGCAGGCGGUUUGUUAAGUCAGAUGUGAAAUCCCCGGGCUCAACCGGGGAACUGCAUCUGAUACUGGCAAGCUUGAGUCUCGUAGAGGGGAGUAGAAUUCCAGGUGUAGCGGUGCAAUGCGUAGAGAUCUGGAGGAAUACCGGUGGCGAAGGCGGCCCCCUGGACGAAGACUGACGCUCAGGUGCGAAAGCGUGGGGAGCAAACAGGAUUAGAUACCCCCGUAGUC